rnacentral:rRNA from 1 species
AGAGUUUGAUCCUGGCUCAGGACGAACGCUGGCGGCGUGCUUAACACAUGCAAGUCGUGCGAGGACGGCCUUCGGGCCGAGUCGAGCGGCGGACGGGUGAGUAACACGUGAGCAAUCUAUCUCCGCAUGGGGGAUAACCCGGGGAAACUCGGGCUAAUACCGCAUGGUCGGGGACCUCGCAUGGGGUCCUUGGGAAAGGU